AGAAAUAUAAAAUUGUUAAGUAACCUAACCAGGAUGAAAUUGACGGUGGCGACCAAUCCUAUUUCCGAACCUAUUUCAAAAACCUCACAGAAACCUAACUGUUCAUUUGUGUCUCAACCUAUUUCAUCCUUCACACCUCGCGUCGCAUCUCAAUUAUAGUCACCACCGUCACACCUCGCCGCCGCAUCUCAACCAUAACCACCACAGUCGCACCUUGCCGCCAUCGCCACCAUCGAACCUUAACUUCUUUACGUUGCAUCUCAACUUCGCUGUCGUCGUAAUCUCGUCGCUGUCGUAACCUCGUCACCUUCGUAAUCUCAUCGCCGUAUUGCAGAUACCGUGUUUUUUCUGAGAUUGGAGUCUAUUCUCAAGUUGAAGGAGCCAAAGAGACAUUGUCGCCAUUGCUCCUUGUAUAGAGUUGAUUUUUAUGCAGUCCUUUGGUAGACAUGAACUAAUGUGAUCAAUUUAAAGCCACUGGGAGCUAGUGAUUGUCAUCCCUUCAAGUUCAGGAAUAAGCAAAAGUGCAGUAGAUAAAUAUUUUGUAGAUAUCAACACAGAUGAUUGAUUCUUCAUGCUUGCGCUUCUCAUUCCUCAAAUCUUUCUCAGCUUUUCAAGCCGAUUUCAGUUUCAAUUUAUUGAGGAAUCGUUUGUGUUGGAAGCCUUGUUCCACCUAAUUUAAUGAAUCGAAGUGUUCAUAGCAAGAUACAAAAGCUUGGGGAGGAAAAGAAGAAUAAGAAGAAAAGGUAAAGGAGUGGCUCGCAGACAAGGAGGCUGAAGCAUUGAGAUGCCAGAAGCUGGUGGAGGAGGAGGAAGCUGCACAGACAAACACCACAUGGACCACUCCUAAGCUGAAUUUAUUGCUGUCAAUAAGCUGAAUUCACGUGGAGAAGGGCAUCGAGCAUCGACCGAAGCUUCUUAGCUGAGAUUUCAACUCUUAGAAAUACCAGGCACAGGAACAUUGUGAAGCUGCAUGAAUUCUGUUUUCGUGAAGAUUCUAAUCUUUUAUUGUAUGAGUAAAUGGAAAAUGGAAGCCUUGGUGAAAAGCUUCAUUCAAGUUCAACAUUUUGUGUAUUGGAUUGGAAUGUUUGAUAUGAAAUAACUUUUCGAGAUCUCUGCAACAGUAUCUAAACUUAUUUAUGAUUUGCGAACAUGAUAUAAAUUUUGUUUA